CUCCUCACUUUGGCAGCAUAUAUACUAAAAUUGAAACUAUACAUAGAAGAUUAACAGGGCUCACGUGCAAGGAUGACAUGCAAAUUUCUGGAGCAUUUGAUAUUAAA
ensembl:snRNA U6 U6 spliceosomal RNA